UACAUGGGGUGCAAACGUUGCUCGGAAUUAUUGGGCGUAAAGCGCACGUAGGCGGUCGCUUAAGUCGGAUGUGAAAGCCCUCGGCUCAACUGAGGAAGUGCAUCCGAAACUGAGUGGCUAGAGUAUGGUAGAGGGUCGCGGAAUUCCCGGUGUAGAGGUGAAAUUCGUAGAUAUCGGGAGGAACACCAGUGGCGAAGGCGGCGACCUGGGACAAUACUGACGCUGAGGUGCGAAAGCGUGGGGAGCAAACAGG
rnacentral:rRNA from 1 species